rnacentral:rRNA from 1 species
UUUAAUUCGAUGAUACGCGAGGAACCUUACCUGGGCUCAAAUGUAUGUUGACGUAUUCUGAAAGGGAUACUUCUUCGGACAAUAUACAAGGUGCUGCAUGGUUGUCGUCAGCUCGUGCCGUGAGGUGUCGGGUUAAGUCCCAUAACGAGCGCAACCCCUAUCAUUAGUUGCCAUCAGGUCAAGCUGGGGACUCUAAUGAAACUGCCUACGCAAGUAGUGAGGAAGGUGGGGAUGACGUCAAAUCAGCACGGCCCUUACGUCCAGGGCUACACACGUGCUACAAUGGCCGGUACAAAGGGCAGCUACCUGGUGACAGGAUGCUAAUCUCAAAAGCCGGUCUCAGUUCGGAUCGGAGUCUGCAACCCGACUCCGUGAAGUUGGAAUCGCUAGUAAUCGCGGAUCAGCCAAGCCGCGGUGAAUACGUUCCCGGGCCUU